AGUCCAUGGUGUGGACAAAGUCGCAUCAUGUCAUUGUAUCUUUCCCAAGAGUCAAAAAGAGAUUUCAUUGUCUUUUUGCUUAAAUCCAUUAAUUUGAGCUCUUAGCAU